GAUGAACGCUAGCGACAGGCCUAACACAUGCAAGUCGAGGGGCAGCACAUGAGUAGCAAUACGAUGGUGGCGACCGGCGCACGGGUGAGUAACACGUAUGCAACCUGCCUUCUACUAUGGGAUAACCCGCUGAAAGACGGACUAAUACCGUAUAAUACAGGGGCUCCGCAUGGAGAUAUUUGUUAAAGAUUUAUUGGUAGAAGAUGGGCAUGCGUAUGAUUAGAUAGUUGGUGAGGUAACGGCUCACCAAGUCAACGAUCAUUAGGGGUUCUGAGAGGAAGGUCCCCCACACUGGUACUGAGACACGGACCAGACUCCUACGGGAGGCAGCAGUGAGGAAUAUUAGUCAAUGGACGAGAGUCUGAACCAGCCAAGUCGCGUGAAGGAAGACGGUUCUAUGAAUUGUAAACUUCUUUUGUGCAGGAAUAAAGUGGGUUACGUGUAACCUUUUGUAUGUACUGUACGAAUAAGGAUCGGCUAACUCCGUGCCAGCAGCCGCGGUAACAC
rnacentral:rRNA from 1 species